ACCGCGGCGUUGGACACGCUCUACGCGCUUCGCAUUGCGAAAACGAUAAAUACGCUACGAAUUAACCCAAUAAAUCAACCUCUUCUCAUGAAAUCUCCCAUUUAAAACAGCCCACGGACCACCUGUGAACAGAACUCUUGGUUAUCUACUCACGUUAUUUUGUUUUCGGUUUGUUUUUGUUGUUUUCACUCGUUUAUUUUGCCGGCAAAACGCCGGUUGCAUGUUAAGUUGUGAUAAUACGCAGUGACGUUCAGUGUUUUGGUUCAGUGACGGUCGCAGACGUCUGAAAUAUUGUUUGAGUGACGAUUUUUGUGUGUUUUUGUUUUGUUUCUGUUGGUUUUUUCCCGGCGCCGGUCGAGAGGUGUGGUUGUCAGGUGAGCACGUGUUUUAUCGAUCGCCGCGGCUGCCUGGGGAACGCAGAAAUCAAUUGAUGCCUGCAACACUCGAUCUUCAGACAUACUUACUCCGUGAUCGAUAUACAGCCCGGGGUGAACUGCAAACAGAAUUGACAAAUAAGGUAAGCAAAGUUAAACGACCUCCUUUACAGCAAUUUAAGAUGAAAGCGUAAGUAUUAGGGUAAAAAAAAACCUAAGGGCUGUUUGAUGUCGUAAUUUCUUUUGUGAAAAAUAACCUGUAAUUUGUUAUUAACCUGCUCUCUAAAUUUUAAGGCUUUCAAUCUGGCUAUCGUUGUUUACUUUUUUUAUACAAAUUUGCCUAUUGUGAUUGAUGAUUUGUAUAACAAACUCCUGUUGACGCGUUUGUAUCAUUACCUUUAUUUAUAACUAGCUGUUCCCGCGAGCUUCGCUUCGCCUUAUGGGUCCGCGAGACGGUCAAGUCGACUUGAUAAGUCUACGUGCUUGAAGUGAAUAUUGAUCGUUUACAGCGUUGACUUGACAAGUCCCGUCAAUAUCUACGGGCUUGACCAUACUUGACAAAAAAUUGAUUGACGGCACUUGCGCUUGAUGCGACUUGACGCGACUUGACAAGUUUUAUUAAUUUGCGGCCAUUUUAUACCAUUCGUGGGUCCGC